rnacentral:tRNA from 1 species
CUCUGGAUAGCUCAUCGGGUAGAGCAAUGGCCUCAUAAGCCAUGGGUUGCAGGUUCGAUCCCUGCUCCAGCUU